GGAGGUUGUGCAGGAGAAUGGUGGGAAGGGAAGGAAAGGAGGAAGAGAUGAGGGAUUGCAGAGAAGAAAAUAGACAAGAGAAGGCAGAGAGCUAGUGCAUGAGGGCAGGGAGAGGGGCAGAGAAAGGGACCAGGGGUACAAAAGCCAGGAAAGUGUCCAGGACUGGCAGCCUCCCUGCUAGUUACACACAGUCUAAAUCUACGCUCUCCAGUCAGAAGAUGGGGAUCCAGAGCCUGCUGAGUUAGCGCCUGAGAUUUCCAGCUUGCGGUUGAGCUGGGAUGUCUGGCGUGUUGUUUCCACAGGAAACGAGAGGCAUGAAUAUGGAUGAAACUCCUCACCGAGACCACAAGGGCUCUAGGCCAAAUCUCCAAAUGAAAUCAGGCCGGGGAGAAAUGAACAAGUGAGAUGCAGAAAACAAUGUGAAGAAGAAACUCUGAAGAUACGAAUAAUAAUAGAAAAAAAGCAUACCCUGAAUGGAUGAGCUAAGCCCUACAAAAUGCACGGAAGGCAAUUCAGGCAAAGUAUUAUCAACAAGAUUUAAGAAGAAGCCCAUGGAACACAGCAAUAA